AUGAAAUUAUUAUACAUUUUGUCUUUUCUUCUGGUCGCUUUGGUGACUUGUUGCUCAGCCCAAACAUGUCGCGGCGCGCCACGCGUUCCUUUGUGUACUGGUGCUCGUGAUUUAGGUCGUCGUGGUCGCCGUUGUAGGCCCCAAAACGUUUGGUAUUAUAAUGCUGCUACCAGACAAUGUACUCAAAUGCGCUACUUGGGUUGUCGUGGCAACAGCAAUCGUUGGUGCACCCGGGCUGUAUGUGAGCAGAGAUGUCGCCGUUAAAUAUUUAAGUUUUGUAACUCUAAAAUUGCUUAAAAUUCUUUCAGUUUAGUUUUUUUUUUCUAAAAAUUGUAUAUUUUUGCUGACAUUAACUUUAUUUCGUUUUAUUUGUAAAUAAAUUUUGUAUUAAUAAAGAGAAACUAUUUGGAAAUAAUUUAGUGAAAGCUA